UGGGGAAUUUUGCACAAUGGGGGAAACCCUGAUGCAGCGACGCCGCGUGAUUUAGAAGGCCUUCGGGUUGUAAAAAUCUUUUCUAUGGGAAGAAAAUGACAGUACAAUAGGAAUAAGGACCGGCUAAUUACGUGCCAGCAGCCGCGGUAAUACGUAAGGUCCGAGCGUUGUCCGGAAUCAUUGGGCGUAAAGGGUACGUAGGCGGGUAAGCAAGUUAGAAGUGAAAUCCUAUAGCUCAACUAUAGUAAGCUUUUAAAACUGCUCAUCUUGAGGUAUGGAAGGGAAAGUGGAAUUCCUAGUGUAGCGGUGAAAUGCGCAGAUAUUAGGAGGAAUACCGGUGGCGAAGGCGACUUUCUGGCCAUAACCUGACGCUGAGGUACGAAAGCGUGGGUAGCAAACAGG
rnacentral:rRNA from 1 species